GUGGAAGGAGCGCACGGGGCGCAGCUGCUCCAGCACCGCAAAGAGCCUCAGCUUCCGCACAUCCCAGAUCCACACGGCAUUCGGGACAUUGUCUGGGCAAGGAAGACCCACAGAAGAGAAGACAAGCAUGCACAGCCUCCCAGGCCGUGUGGCGGGACCCAGAGCUCGCUGCAGCCCCAGGCUUGGGCCCCGUACCGCUGGCUGCCUCCUGACCCCUCUGGCUCAUCCACGGAGAUUUUAUUCAUGAAAAAACACUGCCCUCAAAGCACCAGCGUCAAAUCUGGAUUUCCAGAGCUUGUAUGCAGUUGAAAAAACUGACCGGGGGGAAGGGGGGUUCUCCUGACUCACUGGCCGAGAUAUACUGGCUGUGACGUAUCACAGGGAAGGAAAAAUGGAGUAAAAAAUAACUUCUGAAAUCUA